AAUAAAUAAUUUUCAGUUUACUUUUAUUUUUUGGCUUUUAAUUUUAGUUUUACUUAAUAACUUAAUUUACUUAAUUUACCUGGUCUCAUUUUCAGCUUAUAUAUAUUUUUUUUUUACCAGUUACUACAAAGUGCUUUAAUUUAAAUGUCUGUGUUUGUUUAACCUGUAGGAGCUGCUGCCUCCUCUUCUGCUUCCUCUGGUGUUUUCUCAGGUGUUUCUCCAGGUGUUUCUCCAGGUGUUUCCUCGGGUGUUUCUCCAGGUGUUUCUCCAGGUGUUUCCUCGGGUGUUUCUCCAGGUGUUUCUCCAGGUGUUUCCUCGGGUGUUUCUCCAGGUGUUUCUCCGGGUGUUUCCUCUGGUGUUUCUCCAGGUGUUUCCUCGGGUGUUUCUCCAGGUGUUUCCUCAGGUGUUUCUCCGGGUGUUUCCUCUGGUGUUUCCUCGGGUGUUUCUUCAGGUGUUUCUUCGGGUGUUUCUCCAGGUGUUUCCUCGGGUGUUUCUCCAGGUGUUUCCUCGGGUGUUUCUCCAGGUGUUUCCUCGGGUGUUUCUCCAGGUGUUUCCUC